UACAGAGGGUGCGAGCGUUAUUCGGAUUUACUGGGCGUAAAGCGCACGUAGGCGGAUCAGAAAGUUAGGGGUGAAAUCCCGGGGCUCAACCUCGGAACUGCCUCUAAAACUCCUGGUCUUGAGGUCGAGAGAGGUGAGUGGAAUUCCGAGUGUAGAGGUGAAAUUCGUAGAUAUUCGGAGGAACACCAGUGGCGAAGGCGGCUCACUGGCUCGAUACUGACGCUGAGGUGCGAAAGCGUGGGGAGCAAACAGG
rnacentral:rRNA from 1 species